AGAAAUUCUGGUGCUUCUGGACUCUUCGUUCCAUUUCGAAGCCAAGCUCUCAGACGUCUGCUUCUUUCUAAAAAAACUCUAGCCCUCUGCUUCCCUAACACACCUCCCGCAAACGUCUCUAUUGUGUCUUCUGCGAUUAACACUUUUGAAACAAGAAAUUAAAUCGAUCUCCAAAAGUUCAACCCCCAAACUGGAUCCAGAUCCAUCACCAUCUCGCGGUGCCUUGCUCAGAUCGGCUCUGCACUCAUCAUCGAUGACUCUGCCUUCACGGAGGACUCCGCAAAUCCCAUCGCCGAUAAAGGUAAAGCACGGCCACCUCUCCCUUUCUUCGUUUUCAUGGCCGAAUGUCAAAUCAAGCGAAUUUGACUCAUGCAUGUGUGUAUUCUGUAAAGAUGCUUCUCAAUCUGUUGUCUGGACUAAAGAAAAUGAGGAUGGGGCUCUCGAGAAUUUCAAAUCCCAAAAAAGAGAAAGGUAUAAAUUUUGUUUAGUUUCUUUGUAUCUAUAAGAAUAAUUUUUAUUUUAGGUUACUUCAAAACUGCUGGAGUUUGGAUUUCAUAUGUUUUUUCAGGCGAUUUAUUUGUUAGAUCUUAUGGAUAUUUAGGUAUGAAUUGGCAGAAGAUUGUGCAGACGAUGAUGAAGCAAAGUAGCUGAUUUAUAAUAAGUGACUUUUUCUUUGUUCUUUAUUGUACUAUAGAUUCGAAUUUAUCAUUAUAAUUUUUUUUUUUAAUUUUUUUGUGCAG
rnacentral:lncRNA from 1 species